AACGAACGCUGGCGGCAGGCUUAACACAUGCAAGUCGAACGCCCCGCCAGGGGAGUGGCAGACGGGUGAGUAACGCGUGGGAACAUACCCUUUUCUACGGAAUAGCUCUGGGAAACUGGAAUUAAUACCGUAUACGCCCUACGGGGGAAAGAUUUAUCGGGGAAGGAUUGGCCCGCGUUGGAUUAGCUAGUUGGUGGGGUAAAGGCCUACCAAGGCGACGAUCCAUAGCUGGUCUGAGAGGAUGAUCAGCCACAUUGGGACUGAGACACGGCCCAAACUCCUACGGGAGGCAGCAGUGGGGAAUAUUGGACAAUGGGCGCAAGCCUGAUCCAGCCAGGCCGCGUGAGUGAUGAAGGCCUUAGGGUUGUAAAGCUCUUCCACCGAUGAAGAUAAUGACGGUAGUCGGAGAAGAAGCCCCGGCUAACUUCGUG
rnacentral:rRNA from 1 species